GAUGAACGCUAGCGGCAGGCCUAAUACAUGCAAGUCGAACGGUGUAGCAAUACACAGUGGCGCACGGGUGCGUAACACGUAUGCAACCUACCUAUUAUUGGGGGAUAGCCUUUGGAAACGGAGAUUAAUACCGCAUAAGACAGUGACGUGGCAUCAUGUAGCUGUUAAAGCUUUGGCGAUAAUAGAUGGGCAUGCGUCCAAUUAGUUAGUUGGUGAGGUAACGGCUCACCAAGACGAUGAUUGGUAGGGGAUCUGAGAGGAUAAUCCCCCACACUGGCACUGAGAUACGGGCCAGACUCCUACGGGAGGCAGCAGUAGGGAAUAUUGGGCAAUGGACGGAAGUCUGACCCAGCCAUGCCGCGUGCAGGAUGACGGCGUUAUGCGUUGUAAACUGCUUUUUUAUAGGAAGAAGAAGCCCUUGCGAGGGAAAGUGACGGUACUAUAAGAAUAAGCACCGGCUAACUCCGUGCCAGCAGCCGCAGUAAAAC
rnacentral:rRNA from 1 species